UACGUAGGGGGCAAGCGUUGUCCGGAUUUAUUGGGCGUAAAGAGCGUGUAGGCGGCCAGGUAGGUCUGCUGUGAAAACUCGAGGCUUAACCUCGAGCUGUCGGCGGAAACCAUCUGGCUAGAGUCCGGAAGAGGAGAAUGGAAUUCCCGGUGUAGCGGUGAAAUGCGCAGAUAUCGGGAAGAACACCCGCGGCGAAAGGCGGGUUCUCUGGGACGGUACUGACGCUGGAGACGCGAAAGCGUGGGGAGCGAACAGG
rnacentral:rRNA from 1 species